GGACGAACGCUGGCGGCGUGCUUAACACAUGCAAGUCGAACGGAAAGGCCCUGCUUUUGUGGGGUGCUCGAGUGGCGAACGGGUGAGUAACACGUGAGUAACCUGCCCUUGACUUUGGGAUAACUUCAGGAAACUGGGGCUAAUACCGGAUAGGAGCUCCUGCUGCAUGGUGGGGGGUUGGAAAGUUUCGGCGGUUGGGGAUGGACUCGCGGCUUAUCAGCUUGUUGGUGGGGUAGUGGCUUACCAAGGCUUUGACGGGUAGCCGGCCUGAGAGGGUGACCGGCCACAUUGGGACUGAGAUACGGCCCAGACUCCUACGGGAGGCAGCAGUGGGGAAUAUUGCACAAUGGGCGGAAGCCUGAUGCAGCAACGCCGCGUGCGGGAUGACGGCCUUCGGGUUGUAAACCGCUUUCGCCUGUGACGAAGCGUGAGUGACGGUAAUGGGUAAAGAAGCACCGGCUAACUACGUG
rnacentral:rRNA from 1 species